AUGUUAGAACCAGGGCGGAGCAGCAAGAAGCCAGGAAGGAGACGGUUGGAACAGCUCCGUGCCCAUCAGAGGACGAGGGCUGGGUUUUCUGGGGCUCAGCCCCUGAGCAGCCUGCAGAGGGAGGAGUUCAGCUGCCAAGGAGGGAGAUUCUCCUGGGCUGAAAGUGGCAGCAAAUCCUCGGAUGGCUCAGGCAGUAUGAGGGGAACCUCCUUCUCCAUCAGGAAGUGUGGAACAGGAUCUCUGGUCGCGAAGAUUCAGACUUCACCGCCCUGGAGAGGAUGGAGUGUGCCCUGGGGGCCUGGACAUGUCACUGCUCAGAGUCAGGGAGCUGGGACUGGCUGGAACCACCUGAGGUCUGAGGUCAGCAUCUCAGAUCUUGCACUGACAGCAAACGGGAACACAGCAGCUGGACUGGGAGCAGCAGGGUCUGCAGCAGCUGGACUGGGAGCAACAAGGUCUGCAGCAGCUGGACUGGGAGCAGCAAACGGGGACACAGCAGCUGGACUGGGAGCAGCAAACGGGGACACAGCAGCUGGACUGGGAGCAGCAGGGCUUGCAGCAGCUGGACUGGGAGCAGCAAACAGGGACACAGCAGCUGGACUGGGAGCAGC
rnacentral:lncRNA from 1 species